rnacentral:lncRNA from 1 species
GGCCCAGUCCAGCCUGGCCAUCCCCAUCCAGGCCCUGCCCCUGCUCCUCCGUGGUCACACCUGGUUUCUGGCUCCUUCUGAUCUUACGUCUCCCAAUCCAGAGUGCCUGGACCGAAGGGGACACUGGGGUCAACCUUCCUGCACAUGUGUGAAGUCACAGAUUCAAGAGCCCCCUUCCUGGACUUUAGGAGCGAGGAUGAGGAAGAUGCUGCUUUCAUACUGAGGCAGGACCUGUGUUUAAAGCCGCAGCGCAGAGCAUGGCUCUCAGGACCACCCUGGAGUGAUCAGCCGCCACCGUCCAGAGCAGGGCAGGAAGAAUGAAGCCGAGACCCUGAAGGUGGGUGUGUUGGCCCAGUCCUGCAUUUCCAGCACUCUGAGAGACUGAGGCAGGAGGAUU